AACCAGGUUUCAUUUUUGCACAACCAAAAAAGCUCAAUGAAUCGAUUAACUCGAACACUCACCUUUCUCAACUCGUCCGACUCAAAACGAUUCCACUCAUUCAUCGGCGAUUCCCGCCUUCGGUUUUCAACCGCGAAAUUUCUCGCCGUCCCAUUCUCCGUCGUAAACCUCCGCCACGAUUCAUUCUCAAUUACCUCAAACCUCAAAAGUCUCUCCGCCGUACCCGACCGCUUAACGCCGGCGGAAAUGGAUUGGGAUCGGCAUGAGGCGCCCGGAUUCGAGGAAUUUGUUCGGGUUCAUGGUGGAGGUGCUAGUUCUAAUUCAGAAGGUUCUAAUGAGAGUGUAGUGGAAGAGCGAGAGCCUGAUGAGGUGAAUGAAGAAAAUCAGAGUCAAUCGUACGAAAGGAAAGUUUUACCGGAGGAACUUUCGAGGAAUGUAAUUACACUCACCUGUGAAUCUUCUGCUGAGGGAGGUAUAUGCGAUGUAUAUGUUAUUGGGACAGCUCACGUUUCUGCGGAAUCCUGCCAAGAAGUCCAAGCGGUGAUCAAUUUCUUGAAACCCCAGGCUGUUUUCUUGGAGAUAUGCUCAGGUCGUGUGGCUGUACUUAUACCUCAUAAUUCAAAGGUACCAACUAUGGGGGAUAUGAUGGAUAUGUGGAAGAAAAAUCAAAAUCCAUUUGAGAUACUCUAUAGCUGGUUAAUUACUAAGGUUGCUAACCAGCUUGAGGUUGUACCUGGAGGUGAGUUUCGUGUGGCCUAUGAAGAAGCAAUGAAGUAUGGGGGAAAGGUGAUACUUGGUGACCGUCCUGUGCAAAUAACAUUGCGAAGAACAUGGGCAACAAUGCCGCUUUGGCACAAAACAAAAUUCUUGUCCUCCUUGUUAUUCCAAGCAUUAUUUUUACCAAAGACGGAAGAUCUCAACAAGAUGCUGAAGGAAAUGGAUGAUGUCGAUAUGUUGACUCUUGUAAUUCAGGAAAUGAGCAAGCGCUUCCCCACUCUUUGGACUACCCUAGUUCAUGAGCGAGAUCUGUUCAUGUCAUCAACAUUACUAAGAGUUGCCGGUGAACACAACUCUGUUGUAGCAGUCGUUGGGAAGGGUCACCUUCCAGGAAUCAAGAAGAACUGGAAACAACCCAUUGAGGUUAAUGAACUACUCACAAUUCCUUCACAGAAACCUGCCAUCUCUGUCACAAGAAUAUUGUCAACACUCGGAGUUGCAGUCGCAGGGGUGGCAAUAAUAUCUGGCAUUUAUACAUCAAUUAAGAAAUAACAUCAUUGGCUCAGAUUCAAAUGCCUUUUCUUUCAUGUAUUUUAGAGAAGUCAUACAAGUUUGUUACGUUUAGAAGCUGAGGUCAUGCAUUCAACUCUGAUCUGUCCUACUGCUGUCGGAAAUGGGGAAUCAUUGUUUUUGCAAAAUUCCCUGGGGAGAGGAUGGUGGGAGGAACAACUUUGGUUUGAGGGAUCAUGUGACUGGUGAUCAAGAUCAAAGUGAAGAAGGUGAGGAAGGCUUAACUCUGAGUCAACAUCUUCAAUACCAGGUUUCCCUUGUAGUUUCCAGUUACUCAUCCAUUUCACAGAUUUGAGAUUUUGCACGGUUGCAAGUUUUACCAACAGAUAGCUAUAAUGACAGUUUUCCAGUACCAGCAUUUUGUUAUAGUAUAUAAUUUUUUGGCGCUUUUUAUUCAUCCUUCUAAAACAAAAAAAAAGGUGUACACAGGGAGCUGCU